CCUACGGGUGGCUGCAGUGGGGACUAUUGGACAAUGGGGGAAACCCUUAUCCAGCGACGCCGCGUGAGUGAAGAAGGUUUUCGGAUUGUAAACCUCUGUCAGUGGGGACGAUACUGACGGUACCCACGAAGGAAGCCACGGCUAACUACGUGCCAGCAGCCGCGGUAAUACGUAGGUGGCAAGCGUUGUCCGGAAUUACUGGGGGUAAAGGGCGCGUAGGCGGGAUGUCAAGUCAGAAGUGAAAAGUAUGGGCUCAACUCAUAAGCUGCUUUUGAAACUGAUAUUCUUGAGUGAAGUAGAGGCAAGCGGAAGUCCUAGUGUAGCGGUGAAAUGCGUAGAGAUUAGGAGGAACACCAGUGGCGAAGGCGGCUUGCUGGGCUUUUACUGACGCUGAGGCUAGAAAGCGUGGGGAGCAAACAGGAUUAGAUACCCCAGUAGUC
rnacentral:rRNA from 1 species